AGUACAUCUUGUUACCCCAUUUUUCCAGUGAAGAUUCUGAGGCUCAAAAGUGAGUUAAUUGACCUACAUCACAGCUAGUAAAUGAGAGAGGGUAUUUACACCAAGGCUUUAUUGAGCUUAAAAGCCUGAGCUCUUGGCAUUGUAUGAUGAUGGCACCCUCUUGAUGCUGAAGAUGCUUAUAAUCUAACUUAAGAAACAAGAUGAACACAAUGAUCAGCAAUCAUUAAUAUUAAAAAAGCUGAAUUAAUGGCAUAAAGCAAGUGCUAGAAAAGUUUAGAAAGACAGAGUUAAGUGAGUUAAGGCAGUAAGGGAAGACUUCGUGAAGGAAGGGGACCUUAAGUCGGGUCUUGAAGUACAAAAAUGCAUUUGGAUAGCGGAAAGGGAGACAACACUGGGCGAAGAUACAGAGGCUAACGAGCAGGGCUGUCUGUGGAGAUGGACCACUCAGGAGGUCAAAGAAGAACCUUCUUUUUUCUAAGGCUACAACUUGUGUGCAAAAGGCGCUGGCUGGAGGAGAUUUAGAGCAUCGCAGAAUGCUAACAACCACCAUCUUCAUCCUUAUCACCAAAGAGCGUAUUUGGAUAAGAGAAGCUAUAACCAAGGAAAAUAUAAAAGACCAGCAUGGAAUUGUGUGGAAGACAUCAAGAAUCUUGAAGAAAGUACGCAUGACAAACAAAGUGGGG
rnacentral:lncRNA from 1 species